AUUGAACGCUGGCGGCAGGCUUAGCACAUGCAAGUCGAACGGUAACAGGCCCUUCGGGGUGCUGACGAGUGGCGGACGGGUGAGUAACACGUAGGAAUCUGCCUGAUAAUGGGGGAUAACCCGGGGAAACUCGGGCUAAUACCGCAUACGCUCCACGGAGGAAAGCGGGGGACCUUCGGGCCUCGCGUUAUCAGAUGAGCCUGCGUCCGAUUAGCUAGUUGGCGGGGUAAAGGCCCACCAAGGCAACGAUCGGUAGCUGGUCUGAGAGGACGAUCAGCCACACUGGAACUGAGACACGGUCCAGACUCCGACGGGAGGCAGCAGUGGGGAAUAUUGGACAAUGGGCGCAAGCCUGAUCCAGCCAUGCCGCGUGUGUGAAGAAGGCCUGCGGGUUGUAAAGCACUUUAAGUGGGAAAGAAGGCUUUCUGGCGAAUAACCAGGAAGAUUGACGUUACCCACAGAAUAAGCACCGGCUAACUCCGUGCCAGCAGCCGCAGUAACAC
rnacentral:rRNA from 1 species